rnacentral:rRNA from 1 species
UACGUAGGGUGCAAGCGUUGUCCGGAAUUAUUGGGCGUAAAGAGCUCGUAGGCGGCUUGUCGCGUCGUUCGUGAAAACCUGCAGCUCAACUGCGGGCUUGCGGGCGAUACGGGCAGGCUAGAGUUCGGUAGGGGAGACUGGAAUUCCUGGUGUAGCGGUGGAAUGCGCAGAUAUCAGGAGGAACACCUAUAGCGAAGGCAGCUUGCUGGGACGUUACUGACGCUAAGGCGCGAAAGCGUGGGGAGCGAACAGG